UCCCUAAUAACAAGACAUCGAGCGCAACAAAAAGAGCAAUAAGAACGCCGUAUUCAGGUUGGACGAAUAAACAGAGAAAUUAAAACAACAGAUCCAUGGUGAAUCGAGCUAAAAUUGCACUAGCUUGGCUCAAUUAAUUUGGCAAAGGAAAUCUAGAAAAAAAGUAUUGAAAAAUGAAAAAGAGAUGAAUGGAAAUAACAUCUUUUUCAAUGAGCUUGGUGAAGAAGCGCUCGGCUUGCUUUGCAGAGACGUCACCACGGUAGUCGCGCCACACCAGAACACGGCCCUUUAUGUCUAGAAGAAAGAGUGCGGAGAUAGCACCUGCCAUUUUGUCUUCUUCUAGGGCUUCUAAAGAUCAAUCAGAGAUCUGACGGAAUUGAUAAAAGUCGUUAACUGAGAACAACAAUUCAUGCGAAACUGAAUCUGGGAGUUGUAAAUUUUGUGGCUCCAUUUAGAUAAUGCAUGGUGGUGAAGAUAAACUGUCUCUGUCAGACUCCCAAAAUUGAACCAACGGUAAUGGAGA
rnacentral:lncRNA from 1 species